rnacentral:rRNA from 1 species
GACGAACGCUGGCGGCGUGCUUAACACAUGCAAGUCGAACGGAAAGGCCCUGCUCUUGUGGGGUGCUCGAGUGGCGAACGGGUGAGUAACACGUGAGUAACCUGCCCUUGACUUUGGGAUACCUUCAGGAAACUCGGGUUAAUACCGCAUAUGAGCUCUUGAUACACGGUGGGGGUGGGAAAGUGUCGUCGUUUGGGGAUGGAAUCGCGGCCUAGCAGCUUGUUGGUGGGGUAGUGGCUUACCAACGCUUUGACGAGUAGCCGGCCUGCGAGGGUGACCGGCCACAUUGGGCCAGGGAUAGGGCCCAUAGUCCUACGGGAGGCAGAAGUGGGAGUUUGUGCGCAAAGGGCCGAAGCCGUAUGCAGGAACGCCGCGUCCGGGAUGACGGUCUUCAGGUUGUAAACCGCGUGCGCCUGUAACGCAGCGUGAGUGACGGUAAUGGGUAAAAAAGCGCCGGCUAACUACGUG